GCUUUAUAGAUUAAUUUCCUUUGGGUAAAUUAUUUGAGUGUUGUUGCAUGAAUUGGACAUAAAAGAGCAAGCAACCCACACCCUGGAGACAGUACACCUUUGUGCGCGUGUGUUAGAGUGAAAUGAAGCAAGUAUUCUGUACCACAGUGUCAGGACACCUUAAGCAGAGCCGACACUCAAGCAGUACAGCCAGGAGCUGCACAUACAACAGGCCAUGCAAGCCUGUGCAGGUUGCAGUUAUAAAUAUCAAUCGAAUUCCAGCGCCCACUGCAAGUAUGAUGGGCAGAGGAUCCAAAUCUUCAGUGGGUCGAACUCCUUCCAGUCAUGGCAAAGUUGCUAGGAAUUGUCGUCUGUCUCCAUCUGACUGUUUUCCUGCUAACCCAGCACCGGGAGGAGUGAACUUGGGGACUGGCUCGGCCAGAGUUAGCAAUGAUCUGCCUAAGACAGCACAAGCAAAAAUAAAUCAUUUGGUUAGCUCUCCUUUCAAACAGAGCAGUGUACCUCGCCUCCAUCACAUGGCAGCACUUUUCCCCAGGCGAGGAGCUGAAGUAUGAAAUCCUCAGCGAAAUAGAAAAAAUGAAGAAUCUGCUGAGCAGCCAGAGACCUGUUUGUGAGCGCCGCCUUGUGGCUGGUCAACUGCUCAAAGCCAGAAUGAAGCCACUUUGUCCAACGGUUGUUGAAGGACCGAGUAUUAGUCAAUGCCUCGGUAUCUUACCAGUUUUACAGCCCAACCACCCCAGAAGUCAGCCCACUGAGAGACACCAAUGGAGAAUUCGUCAAGGACAGAGAGGGAAUACCAUUGGUAGGAACACCAAAGAACUCUUCGACCAUGACACUGUCCUUUACAUGAGCAACUUUGACUUCAUUCUAUAACACAAAAAUGUCUGGUGAUGUCUCGCUGAUAGUCUUGCUGAACAAGAAGACAAUAAAGCUGGAUAUCAGCUGGGAAAUAACAAGGUCCCAGGAGCAGUCAGAUUCCCUGAGGAGGGAUGAAGCAGUUCUGAUGAAGGGUCUCAGCCUGAAACGUUGACUGUUUACUCUUUUCUAUAGAUGCUGCUUGGCCUGCUGAGACCCUCCAGCAUUUUGUGUGCGCUGCUUCUGUUUCCCUCUCUACCUUUGCUUCCUGGCCUUUUGAAUAUUUCCAGCAUUUCCAUAUUUUAUUCCAUAUUUUCAGCAUCCACAUUAUUCUGUGUUAGCAUCUCUGGUUUUCUAUGAGCACAUGACGUCAUGCCAAUGAGCUUUGUGGGUUUGAGAGAGCAGCGUUUAGCUUCAGUGUGCCCACUCAGUGAGUCUGUGGCAUUAGAACUUACAGAGUCAUAGAACACUACAGCACAGAGACAGUCCCUUUGGCCCAUCUACUCCGUGCCAAGCUAUUAUUCUGCCUGACGCCCUAACCAUAACCCUUCACACCCCUCCCAUUCAUGUACUGAUUUGUCAGUACCUCCAGUUGAACUUUGUCUUUUGGUGUGUUUUCCCCCUAGCUGUCAGUCUUUGGUUUUGUAUUGCCAUGUGCUUCUGCCCUGCUCCUGCUCUACUCUGGCCCCUGUAUUACUGAGUACUCCAUCUCUCAUCUGUUUCUCAUAAUUACCUGUUUUGCUUCCACUUCUGUCUCAUUGUGCUCCACCUAUCAUCUGCCUCUCUGUUCAUUGUCAUCUGCCUCGUCUGUACAAGAGCAAGGAUGUCCUUUUGCAUUUGUACAGGGCCCUGGUGAGACCACAUCUGGAAUAUUGUGUAUAGUUUUGGUCUCCAGGUUUAAGGAAGGACAUUCUGGCAAUUGAGGAAGUGCAGCGUAGAUUCACUAGGUUGAUUCCUGGGAUGGCAGGGCUGUCUUACGCAGAGAGAUUGGAGAGAUUGGGCUUGUACAUGCUGGAAUUGAGGAGAUUGAGAGGGGAUCUGAUUGAAACGUUUAAGAUAAUUAAAGGAUUUGAUAGGAUUGAGGCAGGAAAUAUGUUCCAGAUGUUGGGAGAGUCCAGUACCAGAGGGCAUGGAUUGAGAAUAAGAGGUCAGUUAUUUAAAACAGAGUUGAGGAAGAGCUUCUUCUCCCAGAGAGUUGUGGGGGUCUGGAAUGCACUGCCUCAGAAGACGGUGGAGGCCAAUUCUCUGGAUGCUUUCAAGAAGGAGCUAGAUAGAUAUCUGAUGGAUAGGGGAAUCAAGGGAUAUGGGGACAAGGCAGGGACUGGGUAUUGAUAGUGAAUGAUCAGCCAUGAUCUCAGAAUGGCGGUGCAGACUCGAGGGGCCGAAUGGUCUACUUCUGCACCUAUUGUCUAUUGUUUAUUGUCAUUGCUCAGUGUAUUUCAGUCCUGUGUUUUCACCUGUUUGUUACCAGAUUGUGCCAGUGAGUUUUCCAGCAUUUGUAUCUGUAUUCUGCCUCCAGACAAAGAAGCAAAAUUCUGGAAAAUAAGUAUUACAUUUGUUGAACAGACCAGAAUGGUGCCCGACCAAGUUAGAUCAAAGUGAAUACUCUCAAAUGAAUGUUUGCAGUAUCUGAAAUAUAUCCACAGUCCUUUCCUAGGGACAAGAACAGAUACAUAUACCUCCAGUAAACCAUCUCACCUCUGCAUUUCUGAAAGAGAUUUUGGCUCCAGAACCAGUCACAAAUGCAGUUUGAUGUUCUGGGUUUGAUAAAGUGAAUGAUUGUCACCACCAUUCUUGGAGCACUGUAAAGUUCAGGCUCAAUAUACCAAGGGCCCCUUAUUAUCAAAAAAGGUGUCUAAUUAGCACAAAUUGCAAAGCCAGAAAAUUUCCUCUCAUUGUAGGACACUCUCGCAGGCAGACACCAGUGCAACAUGCCCUGCUGAAAUCAUCCAAGGAUUUUUAAAUAUUUUCUGUUUUUAUAGUUGUCUUGUCUUAACAAAUCAUAGUUUAUUUUCUUUCCACACAUACCAAACAUGGCCAAAUCAAUGGGACGUCUUAUAAAUAGCUGUGGAUUCAAUGCACUAGAGUACAAAGUUAAUGUUUUCUACAGACUGACAGUCAUUCCAUCAAUAGCAGAAUCAGUUUAUUUUCUUUCUCUCUCUCUCUGUUCCCUUCCCCUCCCUCUCUCCCCUCCCCCUCUCUUUCUCUAUCAUUUUCUCUCCGGCUCCCCUUCUCUCUUUCUUUCUCUCUCCCCCUUUCCCUCCCCCUCUCCUUGUCCCUCUCCCUCUCUUUAUUUAUUUCUCUUUCUCCAUCUUUCUUUCUCUGUCUCCAUCUUUCUCUUUCCCUCUUUCUCAAUGGUUCAAUGGUCAAUGAUUCAACGGUUUCAUUUAAUAUCAGAGGAUGUAUACAGUGUACAACCUGAAAUUCUUACUCUUUGCAAACAUCCAUGAAACAGUUGAAAAUCCAAAAGACUGAGCGACAGAAAAUUGUUAGAACCCCAAAGACCCCCACCCCCCACUCUCAUGCACGAGGAGCAGCAAAACAUUAACCCUCCCCUCCUACCCCCUUGUUUCAGGAACCAUCAGCACUCAUCACCCACCAAACAAGCAAUAGCAAAGCCCCCAAAGAUAGUCCAACAAAAACUCAGCACUUUGACAUGCCACAAGCUCUCACUCUCUCACGAGCAAAGGACAGAGAGGUAUCACCCUUUCACAGCAAGAGUGAGACUGACAGAUUGCCGUUUCCAUGUUACAAUCUGAAGCAGCGGUUACUUGAACUUACCCAACUCGAGAACCAGCAGAUUCUUCUUCCCCUACCGAGAGAGAGAGAGAUAGAGAUAAUGAUCGCCUGUGCAGAGGCCUCCAACAGCCACACACACCCCCAUUGUCCUGAUGUUCCAAUCUCCAUGAUGUUUCAGUUGGCAACACUGGCAAGAAAACGAGUUAUCCGUAGGCACCAACCCAAGCCAUACCCCCAAAGGCGCAUGUCUUCCAGGGCGCUCCUGGAGACAUCAAAGAUGCUGAGCCACUCGGUGAGCUCCAGAAGUGGGACCCCAUCGUUGUAUAGGACCGCAGAUUCAAUGCAGGGUAUGUGAAGGAAGUCUAGUUGGGAACAGAUUGGAACAGCAAGUCUGGACAUAGAGGAUGAGGACUCUAACAGCACAUGUCAUGAAGUAAAGAACAAGUCGCUCCAUAUUAAGGGUAGAGCAGAGGUACAAGUAGUAGUACUGGUGCUCCACAGUUCUGGAGACCCAGGUUCUCUAUGUGGAGUUUGCAUGUCCUCCCUGUGAUCUUGUGGGUUUCUUCCAGAUUCCUCCCAUAUCCCAAAAAUAUUCAGGUUUGUAGAUUAAUUGGCCACCGUAAUAUUUUCCCAAGUGUAUCGGUGAGUGGUAGAACCUUUGAGUUGAUGGGAAUGUAUGUUAGAGUAGGAUUAGCAUAAAUGGGUGGUUGAUGGUCAGGAUGGACUUUGUGGGUUGAGAUGUGCUAUGUCUCCUUGACUUUCUUAAGGCAAUCUUAUCCAUGACAUAGACAAGUAUUUACAAGUUCAUCCUGGGAUUUAACAAAACACAAUGAGACGCAAGCUGUCAGACUGCAGGUAAGAAGAGCAUUUCUGUGGCACAUGCAACCAUCUUCAGCUUUCAGGAAAGAACGUUUGAGUUCCAGUCAAUCUGCUUUAGACCCAAAUGCUACUCUUUGUAUCUUGUAAAUGGUUAUUAACAUACCCUAACGUGGGGCUUCAUGUUUUUGAAGAACUGAAUACUUCUGGCAUGUGGCAAUCACUGCUAGUUUCCCUGUUUGAAUACUACCAACAAUUUCCUCUAAACAGAUAAGGUAGUUUCAAGGAGGACUGUGGAUCUCUCGAAAGCUUCAGCGAUCUAUAGGUCAUUGAAGACUCCCCACUGAGAACCCCUGUGAAUGAUUUUAUGACAUAGAGGUAGUACCCUCAUCUUCGAUGGGAGAUCAGAAUGAUAUCUCUGUCCACUUUGAUCUUCCAUUUAAUUAUCAGACUAUUUGCAGACUAUAUACGUAGAACUACAAGAAGGGUGCCUUGCAGAACUCUUUGCUCUUCCCUGAUUGAAGUGAUCUUCUUCAUCCGUAUGGUGGAUGAUUUAAAGAAUUGAUUGUACAAGCCACAGUUGUUGACCACUUGAAUUGCACCAGUUCACAACCACUUUGUAUCUUGUCGGAGAGAGAACACUCAUUCAUUCCACCUUGUGGUGUUAGGUUGGAUGCUGGGAACCUCCACCAAUCUUGUCAAAAGAUCACUGAAUGCAGGCAUCAAUGUAAUUCAGAUCAAAAGAUUAAUUGUUAAUGAUGGUUAGUGCUCUGGCACUCAUCCACAGAAACCAGGUAUUUGUUCCAAUUCUUUCCAACGGUGAGUGGUUCACUUUCAGGGUAUGACCACCUUAUUUGGAAUAGGCAUCAGCUUGCAAGAAGAUAAUGAUCCAAAUAGAAUAAAUCCUAUUACCUUUCAAUUUAAAAAAGUAAUGGUAUUAAGAGCAGUUUUGAUGUGAAGUGAUAGUUAAGCUUCAUUGCAAAACUGCAAGUUCCUGGAUAAAAUGCCGAAUAGUUUAACCAUCACAUUGACAGAAAUUGACUUCACUUCAGGCUAGAGCAAACCAUUACAGGUAACAUAACAAUGAAGCCAUUGUUCAAAAUAGCAACACUCUCCUUUAUGGGAUCUAUGCAUGAAUGGUUGCUUUACUGCUGUGUGUUUGUUUCAGUUAUAUACUGCUGCACAUUGCUACUUUAAUGGCCAUUAUAGAGUUCAAGGUUAUGUUUACAAAAGUACUGUUUGUCCCUGACAUCAUAAAUCAGCUGUGCUCUGAUAUCUGGGGAACCCCUAAUCUUGGACCUUUGUUUGAUCUGAUCCCUUAAAAUCAAAAUAACAUUUUUUAUAACCAAAUUUUAAACUUGCGAGGAUCUUAUAACAAUGCAUUAAACUAAAUCAAUGGAGUUCACGUGUUAUACUUUUGGCAAUAAAUACUUAUUCCUGGGACAAGGAUGAUAGUAUAAAUUGCAGCUGUCUUAGAUCUGAAACUAUGCUGACCCUCACUGUCAAAAUAUUGAGUGAAACUGACUGACACAGACCGGACAUAAAACAAAGAUAGCAACAGUAAUCUUCACUAAUCCCAUUAUGCCUUUCCUUAGCCUGAUGUCUAUUUCAAUUUGUACGCAUCAGUUGAUUUUAAUUCAAGAAUGUAUGAACGCCAUCAAGGAAGUUUGUUUUUUAUGAAAUGCUCUGCCAAUUCCAUAGACCUAACCGGGUCUUAAAAUCUGCAUGAGGAAUCUGAUUAACUAAAAUGCACAUGGACAUUAUUUUGGGUCUGAUUUAUGGAAUACUAGCUUGGAAUAUAACAAAUUCACAUAUAUUUGGCAUGAUUCAUAAAUAGGCAUCAUUUUUAAGGUUAUA